AGAAAUAGGGGUCGCUCACAUUACAAGCGUUGACAAAAAAGAUUUUUGUUUAGACAGUCAUUCUUUAAAAUUGAACGUUUGCUCAACUAUUAUUCAAUAUCUGAUGGCCAGUUACAAUAAAUUGUCUCUGACCGAUUAGUUCAGAUUGCGAGAGUGGAUUUCUUUAUGAGUUUUCCCUCGGUACGAUCUUCAAAUAGGUCGGUGGAUGUCUAGUUAUAAUAGAACAAACAAGUUCAGCUACAUGCUUUUUUUUUCUAUCUUUUAGCGAGUCCAGUUUUAAUUUAGAAAGAAGAGGGGCUGAAUAGGCAUCUCGAUUUGCAAAUAAUUCGUUAAGCAAUUUUUUGUCUAGUUUCUUUAACUGCAAUGUAUGUUUACUAUAUGUAAAGUUUACUAUAACUGUAA